AUUGAACGCUGGCGGCAGGCCUAACACAUGCAAGUCGAGCGGAUGAAGAGAGCUUGCUCUCUGAUUCAGCGGCGGACGGGUGAGUAAUGCCUAGGAAUCUGCCUGGUAGUGGGGGACAACGUUUCGAAAGGAACGCUAAUACCGCAUACGUCCUACGGGAGAAAGCAGGGGACCUUCGGGCCUUGCGCUAUCAGAUGAGCCUAGGUCGGAUUAGCUAGUAGGUGGGGUAAUGGCCCACCUAGGCGACGAUCCGUAACUGGUCUGAGAGGAUGAUCAGUCACACUGGAACUGAGACACGGUCCAGACUCCUACGGGAGGCAGCAGUGGGGAAUAUUGGACAAUGGGCGAAAGCCUGAUCCAGCCAUGCCGCGUGUGUGAAGAAGGUCUUCGGAUUGUAAAGCACUUUAAGUUGGGAGGAAGGGCAGUAAGUUAAUACCUUGCUGUUUUGACGUUACCAACAGAAUAAGCACCGGCUAACUUCGUGCCAGCCGCCGCCGUAAUAC
rnacentral:rRNA from 1 species